UCUGGCCUUGGAGCCCAUGACCUAGGCUAAGAACGCCGUGGCCAGAUCAUUCCAAUUCUUUACCGACCUCUCGUGCAGUCUCCUAAACCAUCUUUGAGCUUUGUCUUCUAGAGUUAGGGGGAAUGUCUAGCAUAUGAUUGCGUUGCUUGCCCCUUGUAGUUCCAUCCACGAGGUAUAUUUGUCAAGGUGGCUGAGGGGAUCACCAUCCCCUUCGUAUGCGGCGAUCUGGGGGAUUUUCAAUUUUU
rnacentral:lncRNA from 1 species